UCAACUGCCACCGAAUGUUGGUCAAUAUCCACGCCCAAGUAUGCUUAUGCCUAGAGAGCCGGAUGUUCUGCUGCGCAUGUCCUACGCCGAUCAGCUUCAGUAUUUACAGGCUGCUGAAUUCCAGCGACAGUCACUGCACGAACAGUACUUUAGACAAAGGCCCAGGUAAAUGGACCAGUAUGGUAGAACGUUUUAUAGUAUGCGUUAAGUUUUAAAAUAAAAAAAUAAAAAAAAACUGAAGAAAAGGAAAACAUACAUAAAUAAAAGCGCCAGUUGUGUGGGUAGCGUGCUGCAGCGCUUCGCUUGGAUACAAAUUUCACAUAAAACUUUAGUGCUUAUAAGUGUAAAUAAUGCGUGCAGCGUGCUACGUGCGCUCAAUCGUUCUACCAAGCAACAUCUUUAAACAACUACAACUACAACAACAACAGCAACAUCAACAACUACGACGACACGAAGCAAAGCAAGCAAAUUUAUGCGUGUCAAUCCAUUUCGGUACACUCCUAAUCUACUACCAUUCGACUCCACUUUUUCACUUCACUCGCAUCGAACCUGCGCGUCACUUGGAGUAAAGUUAAGCCACAUUAUCUCUGAUGAAAUGUACCAUCAUUUGUUCGCGUCUUGAUUGCCAUUCAUUGUUUGUUUGUUUGUUUGGUUUUCAAGAUUGAACAACGUCAAUAUGCGGUCAAUGUGAAGUACAUUUCAUUUGUGUAAUGCUUAAUUUUAGGCAAUUUAUGUAAUUGUCACAAUUGUUGACAAUAUCCCUUCAAAAAAAUCAACUGCGUUAGUCCUUACUUGGGAUGAAUAACACAAAAAUUUAUCAGAAAUAAAACAACAUUAUUGAGUAUGCAAUCAAAGAUUGGACAACUACAAAUCAAACUAAAAACUAAAGAGCAAUGACGUACUAUAACGGACACGGAAAACGGAACUAUAACUGGCAAUGCAUUCGGAGCAUAUAUUAAAAAUGCGAAUAUCUUUUUUUUAGGAUCACAAAUGUACAUAGUAUACACCACACUCAAAUUUACAAGCACAACGCUAUUGACGCUUAUGAGUAUGUUAACUCGAAGAAAAACGGAACAACAAUAGGUCACAUAAAUUGAACAUGAAUUGUAGAUUUCAAAAAAAAAAAUUAGUUCAACGUUAAUAUAAAUUAGUGACAAAAACAUGAUUGAACAGUUAUGCGUAUGUGGUAUAUUUUGUAAGUUACUUAAUGUAAAUUUAUACAGACAAUUUUGUACGAUAGAUACAUAUUUUUUUUGUUUUGUAAACGUGUUUUGUAAUAGAGCCUUUUGAAGAUAAAGUAGGCGACGUGCAAGCCGUUAAUUAGGCAAAUUAGGUUUUCAUUGAAAUAUUAUGUAUGUACAUAUGUACAUUGGCAAGUAAUCAUUUAGAAGAAAGAACCAGCUACGCAUACCAAAACAACAGACAAAAAACAGACAACUAAUUAGCUGAUUUCGUCAUUGAAUUUAUCUAGCAAGCGACGAGACCGUUGGCUUGGGUCUAGUAGCAGCUUUAUGCAUUUGUAUAAAAAAUACGCUUACGAUUGGAUUUUGGCAUUAACUACAUUUGAUUUACAUACUUAAAAAAAAAAGCAAUAGUUAUAAAUAAAUGUUGCAAUCAAGAUAUUUCGCUAGAAUUAUGAUGGUACAAAUGAACUUGGAAUUUAGUUUUCCUCAAGACAAAAGCUUGUGCACUACAUACGCACUUACUGCAUCAUAUACAUAUAUACACACCUAGGUAUACAUACAUAGAUAUGUCUAAGUUCAUUAUAGCAGGCAAAAGUUUACUAAAAUAUAAUUAUGUAAAACUAAAUAGCCAUGACAGCAAAUUGUCUAAAAAGUACUUUUGAUAAUUAGUUUUUAUUUGUACGUAGUCGAGCAGCAUUAAGGAGUAGGCGAAUUAUGGAAUUGUGGCAUAUAUAGUAAACAGUUAUACAUACAUACAUACAUACAUACAUACAUGCAUAUGUACACAUAUAUUAUGCGAAACAUAUGUGUACACAAACUCAAAACAGUUAUGUAAAUAGCAACAUUUUAAUGAUGAACAAAUAUUUAAGGCAAGUCUUUUUGUUUGCCAUUUUUAAUAGUAUUUUUUGUUAGUUUAAAUUCUACCUUUUUUGUUUGUGUGAAAGUUUUUUUAUUAAAAACAAAUAUUUAUUUAUAGUGCUUUAGUAUUAUUUGUAUAUUGCUUUCGAUAUUUAAAAUUAUUUUGAACAAGUUUUAACAUAGAGUGUAAAAGGUAAAAAUAAAAGGCACUCAUAAAAAAAAUAAUAAUUCAAAAUUAAACUAGCCUAAAAUUAUGAGCUGUUGCUGAGUACAUAUAAAGUAUAAGUUAAAAGGUAUAUAUUAAAUGUAGAAAAGAAAGUGUGAGUAAGCGCAGUGCGAUUUGUAAUUUGUAUGCUGCUAAUAUUUUGGCUAUUGACUGUAAGAGUAUGUAGUAAUCAAAAAAAAAAAAAAAUAUAUAUAUACAUAUAUAUCGUAUUAUAAAUGAUUAGUCAAAGCGGAAAGUUUAACAAUAAAAAUUUAGUGACAGCUGACAGGAAAUUGAGAACGCGAUAAGCAUUUUAAGCAAUGAAUCUACAUAUUAAGGAGAGGUCCCGAAAAUUUUUUCGUUUCUUCUUUCUAUAUUAAACUUGCAGUAAUCUAAUAAAAUUUUCAUGCUUAAACAACGGCGUGAAACUGUCUUGGGCGCAUACGUCAUGUUGGUCGUUCAUGGGUUAAAUUUGCAAGUAUAUGAAAUUAAGGGCCGAUUACUCAAUGUAAAAUACAUACUGCAGGUUAAACAUCGUUAUGGACGUGAUCGAUUCCAUAACAUACAUAUAACAGGGAGUCGAUAGCGUCGAUAACGAUGUUUAACCUAUAGUUAGUGUUAACCAGACAUUCAGUGACCGGCCCUAAGAAUUAUAUGUAUAUUCAUAUACAUACAGAAGGUGACAAAAUGAAAUGAUCAUAGGCAAAGUUGCAACAGAAAGAUUCAAAGUUAACUCCUUGGAAGCUAUUAGUAAAAGAAUUUGUACCAAAUGUUAGGUUAAUAUCACGCAGUUAAACUAAUAUGAACUUCAUAAGCAAAAUAAAAACGUUACAACUUAUGUUACAUAUGUUCCUCGGAAAAUUGUGUUGUAAGAAUAAGUUGCCAUGCGCCAAUACCCAGAAGAUAAUUAGGUGGGCCUUCUGAAGUGAAGCCAUUCUAAAAUUGGGGAUUUACUGUGUCCUUUUAUUCAGACACCUAUACAAAUUUCACCACAAUGACUUCUGCAGAAACUGCUAGAACGAAGAAGAGCUAGAAACGAUCAGGUAUUUGGAGCUAUCACUUUGUACAUCAUAGUACGUAAAAUAGGUACGAACGUAACAUAUUCUUUGAAUACACUCGUUCGCAGCAAUUAGGAUUAAAGGUUCAUAUUUUCAUAAAUUUAACGACAAUGAAACCACGAUGGAUUCUGUGAUAGCCUCGAUUUACUCGGUACUUGUCCUGCAUUCUGAGUACAAGGUCUUUAAAAGAUUUAAGCGCAAUUUGAAUGAAAAGCAAUAGAAGAAUUAAUCUGUCAGACUAAUAAUGAUUUAUUGAACUUAAAUCUUACCAAAUUUUUGAUUCGAAAUCCAUCAGGUAAGGCAACUUGCAUGAAAGAGGCGUAAUUUUUAUAUUAUCAACUUAUUUUUGCGCGUUUUCUUUCGAACCAAUACAGUUAGAGGCCACGUUACGGACAUAUUUUUAAACCAAAAUGCCUGAAAAAUUUAAUACAAGCCAACUCUAGUAUCCCUUACUUCGAGAUGUGUAAAGAGAAAUUUCACAUUUUAAGAUUAGCUGACACUUGAUUCACCCUUUUUUUCUCGCCUAAGUUAACCAACUUCAUUUUGCCAGCUACUGUAUGCAUUUGUGAUUUUAUGUAUGUGCAAAUUUUUAACGAUGUUUCUCUAGUAAAAAGGGGGGAAAAAAUACAUUACAAACUUGAAAUGCAUAUAACCACAGCUGCAUUCGAUUUUUUCGAUUCACUUCAAAGAUGGACAAAUUUUUGUAUGGUUUUAAAAAUGUAGUAGAUAUAUGAACAUAAAAUGCUUUAAAAUUACACGCUCUUCAUUGCCAAGGACACACAACUCAUUUAAGCUUAACUAAGGAAUUAAAUCUAUAUAUUAUGUAUGUAUAUAUCCAAAUACCAUGAAAAGAAAAAAAAAUCGCCGUAAAUAUUUUUUUUUUUUUUUUUCGUGUGGUUAUAAAUUUUAAUUUAACUUUUUGAAAUUGCGUAAAAUUUCACUUGUGUAACACUCUGAAGGCAAGCAAGUGACAUCAGCUUAUACUUUGCUCUUUCGCAUAAUUAAAAAAAAAAUAGACACACAAAAAGCAUUCAAGAGUACACAAAUCAAAGAGAAAUUAAAAAAAGUAGCUAUUGUAACAAAAGGAAGAUACAAACAUAAAGUGUUAUUAAAAUAAAAAGCGAACGCCAGUUUAGCUAUGAGCUCUUACUGCAGCAUUAAAAAAUAAAUAAAAAAAUAACAGCAAAUUAAAAUAGUGUAAACACAGCACCAAUUUAAAACAACAAAUACUACGUAUAUA